rnacentral:rRNA from 1 species
CAGCAGCCGCGGGAAUACGUAGGUGGCAAGCGUUGUCCGGAAUUAUUGGGCGUAAAGGGCUCGCAGGCGGUUUCUUAAGUCUGAUGUGAAAGCCACCGGCUCAACCGGGGAGGGUCAUUGGAAACUGGGAAACUUGAGUGCAGAAGAGGAGAGUGGAAUUCCACGUGUAGCGGUGAAAUGCGUAGAGAUGUGGAGGAACACCAGUGGCGAAGGCGACUCUCUGGUCUGCAACUGACGCUGAGGAGCGAAAGCGUGGGGAGCGAACAGGAUUAGAUACCCCAGUAGUCCCUGUCUCUUAUAC